UACGGAGGGUGCAAACGUUGCUCGGAAUUAUUGGGCGUAAAGCGCACGUAGGCGGUCUGUUAAGUCGGAUGUGAAAGCCCUGGGCUCAACCCAGGAAGUGCACUCGAAACUGACAGGCUAGAGUGCGGAAGAGGGUCUCGGAAUUCCCGGUGUAGAGGUGAAAUUCGUAGAUAUCGGGAGGAACACCAGUGGCGAAGGCGGAGACCUGGGCCGAUACUGACGCUGAGGUGCGAAAGCGUGGGGAGCAAACAGG
rnacentral:rRNA from 1 species